AGAUGGCUUAGUGCUCGAAAGAGAACCGUAACACAGGUGCUGCAUGGCUGUCGUCAGCUCGUGUCGUGAGAUGUUGGGUUAAGUCCCGCAACGAGCGCAACCCUUAUCAUUAGUUCGCUACGCAAGGGCACUCUAAUGAGACUGCCGGUGACAAACCGGAGGAAGGUGGGGGAUGACGUCAAGUCCUCAUGGCCCUUAUGGGUAGGGCGUUCACACGUCAUACAAUGGUCGGUACAGAGGGUUGCCAAGCCGCGAGGCGGAGCCAAUCCCACAAAGCCGAUCGUAGUCCGGAUUGUUCUCUGCAACUCGAGAGCAUGAAGUCGGAAUCGCUAGUAAUCGCAGGUCAGCAUACUGCGGUGAAUACGUUCCCGGGUCUU
rnacentral:rRNA from 1 species